rnacentral:rRNA from 1 species
GACAGAGGGUGCAACCGUUGUUCGGAAUUACUGGGCGUAAAGCGAGUGUAGGCGGUCUAAAAAGUCGGGUGUGAAAGCCCCGGGCUCAACCCGGGAAGUGCACUCGAAACUGCUAGGUUAGAGUAUCGGAGAGGUUGGUGGAAUUCUCGGUGUAGAGGUGAAAUUCGUAGAUAUCGAGAGGAACACCGGUGGCGAAGGCGGCCAACUGGACGAAUACUGACGCUGAGACUCGAAAGCGUGGGGAGCGAACAGG